rnacentral:rRNA from 1 species
UGAACGCUAGCGACAGGCCGUAACACAUGCAAGUCAGGGGCAGCACAAGGAGCAAUCUGAGGUGGCGACCGGCGCACGGGUGAGUAACACGUAUGCAACCUGCCUGUAAGCGGGGAAUAACCCGUUGAAAGACGGACUAAUACCGCAUAAUACUAAAUUACUGCAUGGUAAUUUAUUUAAACAUUUAUGGCUUACAGAUGGGCAUGCGCAUGAUUAGCUAGUUGGAGAGGUAACGGCUCCCCAAGGCAACGAUCAUUAGGGGUUCUGAGAGGAAGGUCCCCCCACACUGGUACUGAGACACGGACCAGACUCCUACGGGAGGCAGCAGUGAGGAAUAUUGGUCAAUGGACGAGAGUCUGAACCAGCCAAGUCGCGUGCAGGAAGAAUUGUCCUAUGGAUUGUAAACUGCUUUCGCAGGGGAAUAAAGUGCAUCACGUGUGAUGUUUUGUAUGUACUCUGCGAAUAAGGAUCGGCUAACUCCGUGCCAGCCGCUGC